GUUACCUCAGAGUGACGCUGGUGAGGCGGCCCGUGAGCGGAAGAAGCCCUGCGGCCUCCCUUGCCAUUGUAAAAGUUGUGACCGUGGUUAACAAUCUUCAUAAAAUGUCUCAAAACUAACUGCAAACUUAUAAGCAAGCUAUGUAUGGACUAAAGUAAUCUGAUAGCUGAGAUGAAAUUGACUGAUGGAUAGAAACUUGUGCAUUUUGCUAUGGAAGAUGUCUUUGAGCACAUCAGUGAAUGUAUUAGUUAUCUAUUGCUGCAUAACAAAUACUCUCCAAAUUUAGCAACUUAAAACAGAGAGAUGGGGUCUCGCUCUUGCU